UUUCCGUAGGUGAACCUGCGGAAGGAUCAUUAUCGUAUCAAAUGUUUGAGGCAUGCGAGGGCUGUCGCUGACUUCCUUAGUCGUGCACGCCGGAGUGUGUCCUCUCACAUAACAAUCCAUCUCACCCUUUGUGCACCACCGCGUGGGCACCCUUUGGGAUCACACCAAUCUCAGACGGGGGCUCACGUUUUCACACAAAACACCCCCUUUAAAAAGUGUAGAGAAUGUCCUAAUUUAUGCGAUCAAUACAACUUUCAACAACGGAUCUCUUGGCUCUC
rnacentral:misc_RNA from 1 species